rnacentral:rRNA from 1 species
UACAGAGGUGGCAAGCGUUGUUCGGAAUUACUGGGCGUAAAGGGCGCGUAGGCGGUUUCGUAAGUCCCGUGUGAAAGCCCCCGGCUCAACUGGGGAAUUGCACGGGAAACUGCGAGGCUUGAGUUUGGGAGAGGGACGCGGAAUUCCAGGUGUAGCGGUGAAAUGCGUAGAUAUCUGGAGGAACACCGGUGGCGAAGGCGGCGUCCUGGACCAACACUGACACUGAUGAGCGAAAGCCAGGGGAGCAAACGGG